UACAGAGGUGGCAAGCGUUGUUCGGAAUUACUGGGCGUAAAGGGCGCGUAGGCGGCCAUCUAAGUCAGACGUGGAAUCCCUCAGCUUAACUGGGGAACUGCGUCUGAUACUGGAUGGCUUGGAUUCGGGAGAGGAAUGCGGAAUUCCAGGUGUAGCGGUGAAAUGCGUAGAUAUCUGGAGGAACACCGGUGGCGAAGGCGGCAUUCUGGACCGACAUUGACGCUGAGGAGCGAAAGCCAGGGGAGCGAACGGG
rnacentral:rRNA from 1 species